UACGUAGGGUGCGAGCGUUAAUCGGAAUUACUGGGCGUAAAGCGUGCGCAGGCGGUCUGUUAAGACCGAUGUGAAAAUCCCCGGGCUUAACCUGGGAACUGCAUUGGUGACUGGCAGGCUUUGAGUGUGGCAGAGGGAGGUAGAAUUCCACGUGUAGCAGUGAAAUGCGUAGAGAUCAUGAGGAAGACCGAGUGGCGAAGGCGGGUCGCUGGACAGUUCCUGACACUGAGGCACGAAGGCCAGGGGAGCAAACAGG
rnacentral:rRNA from 1 species